rnacentral:rRNA from 1 species
GCGAAAAGCGGCAGAGAUGUCGUGUCCGCAAGGGCGCUAUACAGGUGCUGCAUGGUUGUCGUCAGCUCGUGUCGUGAGAUGUUGGGUUAAGUCCCGCAACGAGCGCAACCCUCGUUCUGUGUUGCCAGCAUUUAGUUGGGGACUCACAGGAGACUGCCGUGGUUAACACGGAGGAAGGUGGGGAUGACGUCAAAUCAUCAUGCCCCUUAUGUCUUGGGCUGCACGCAUGCUACAAUGGCCGAUACAAAGGGCUGCAAUACCGUGAGGUGGAGCGAAUCCCAUAAAGUCGGUCUCAGUUCGGAUUGAGGUCUGCAACUCGACCUCAUGAAGUCGGAGUUGCUAGUAAUCGUAGAUCAGCAACGCUACGGUGAAUACGUUCCCGGGUCUUGUACACACCGCCCGUCACGUCACGA